GUCCGGCCUAGUUGGCGCUUCCGAAACACCGAGGGACAGGCCAGCGCUUUGCUGCCCCGGCUGCGCGCCAGAGACGAAGGCUACUUUCGAGACUUUCUUCGAAUGCCGCCAAGCACAUUCGACACAUUACUCGGACUUGUGGGGCCCAAGAUCGAGCGCAAAGUGACGCCGUUUCGGGAACCCAUCUCGCCGCACGAUCGGCUGGCUAUCACGCUAAGGUUUCUUGCCAAUGGUGACACCUUCCGCAGCCUCUCGUACAAUUUUCUCAUCGGUCGGUCAACUGCAGCUGUGAUCAUCAGGCAAACAACUGCUGCGAUUUGGGAAAGCCUUCAGCCUCUUUACCUGCUAUUUCCCCAGUGCGCUAGGGAGUGG